rnacentral:rRNA from 1 species
GACGAACGCUGGCGGCGUGCUUAACACAUGCAAGUCGAACGGAAAGGCCCUGCUUUUGUGGGGUUCUCGAGUGGCGAACGGGUGAGUAACACGUGAGUAACCUGCUCUUGACUUUGGGAUAACUUCAGGAAACUGGGGCUAAUACCGGAUAGGAGCUCCUGCUGCAUGGUGGGGGUUGGAAAGUUUCGGCGGUUGGGGAUGGACUCGCGGCUUAUCAGCUUGUUGGUGGGGUAGUGGCUUACCAAGGCAUUGACGGGUAGCCGGCCUGAGAGGGUGACCGGCCACAAUGGGACUGAGAUACGGACCAGACUCCUACGUGAGGCAGCAGUGGGGAGUAUUGCACAAUGGGCGGAAGCCUGAUGCAGCAACGCCGCGUGCGUGAUGACGGCCUUCUGGUUGUAAACCGCUUUCGCCUGUGACGAAGCGUGAGUGACGGUAAUGAGUAAAUAAGCACCGGCUAACUACGUG